AUGGUAGAGAAAUGAACAUUAAUUUAUCUGACAACAGCUCUGGUGGACAUUCCUGCAGUCAGCAUGCCAAUUCCAUGCUCCUUCAAAUCUUGAGACAUCUGUGGCAUUGUGUUGUGUGACAAAACCACACAUUCUAGAGUUGCCUUUAUUGUCCCCAGCACAAAGUGCACCUGUGUAAUGAUCAUGCUGUUUAAUCAGCUUCUUGAUAUGCCACACCUGUCACUUUGAUUGAUUUUCUUGGCAAAGGAGGAAUGCUCACUAACAGGGAUGUAAACAACAUUUGAGAAAAAUACACUUUUUGUGUGUAUGGAACACUUCUGAGAUCUUUAAUUUCAGCUCAUGAAACAUGGGACCAACACUUUACAUGUUCCGUUUACAUUUGUGUAUAAAACAUUACCCAGGGGUUGGGUGCUGUUAUUAUGUGAGUGGGUGUAAAAGUGUGUUGAAAGUGGUACCUGCCGUCUUUGUUUAUGUCUGUCUGAAUUUGUGUCCGUAGAGCUGAAAGUAUGUGUUCUGCAACAAGACCAGAGAAGCGCACCAGUCACAAUAAACUUUCCACACAAACCUGCAAACACGAAGAUGUCAAGACAACACAUCAAAGCAGAGCUAUAGAGGGCAACAUGAAUCAUGGAGAAAGACUAAUCUUGCUUCUGAUGAUGAUGACCUUGACACCAGCUUCAGUAGUACAGAGCCUGUAGAUCCAUUGGAUGAAAGCCUUCAGCCUGGAAUAAGCUCAACAUCAUCUGACUUUGAAACAAGCCAGGACAGCCAAAGGUAUUUAUGGAAGCACAAUACCCUCUUGAGAAAUCAAAAUAACCAAUACAUUAAACUGUCUACAAGACAAGUUACUGGUGACGCAACGCACGUCUGCGUAGUCUGUACUGCUGCACUGUUUAUUGCUACUUGGCUACCUGACAAACUUUUUAACAAGUUUACCAAGGUCUUAGUUUCGUACUCACAACUUUUUCACCCCAGACGCUUUCUGGACAUAGAUCUGCAAGACCUCCUCCAGCCGAAUAAAGAAGCUUAAUAACAUUAUGCCUCCUCAUUGCAGUCUCCGCACUCUUAAUAUGAAGGAUAACUGUCACCUUAUGGUGAGAAUAGCCAAGUUGCAAGCCCUGCUUCAGACGCAAUCGUUAGGCAAGGGCAAUUUUAAGUGUAGGGA
rnacentral:lncRNA from 13 species